UACGAAGGGGGCUAGCGUUGCUCGGAAUCACUGGGCGUAAAGCGCACGUAGGCGGCUCUCUAAGUCAGGGGUGAAAUCCUGGAGCUCAACUCCAGAAUUGCCUUUGAUACUGGGAAUCUCGAGUCCGGGAGAGGUGAGUGGAACUGCGAGUGUAGAGGUGAAAUUCGUAGAUAUUCGCAAGAACACCAGUGGCGAAGGCGGCUCACUGGCCCGGUACUGACGCUGAGGUGCGAAAGCGUGGGGAGCAAACAGG
rnacentral:rRNA from 1 species